GGUGAACGCUGGCGGCGUGCUUAAGACAUGCAAGUCGAACGGCAGUCUUCGGACUGUAGUGGCGCACGGGUGAGUAACGCGUAACUGACCUACCCCAAAGUCGCGGAUAACGAAUCGAAAGAAUCGCUAAUACGUGAUGUGCUGUCAGAUUGUGUUCUGCCAGUAAAGAUUGAUUGCUUGGGGAUGGGGUUGCGUUCCAUCAGCUAGUUGGUGGGGUAAAGGCCCACCAAGGCGACGACGGAUCGCCGGCCUGGGAGGGUGGCCGGCCACAGGGGCACUGAGACACGGGUCCCACUCCUACGGGAGGCAGCAGUUAGGAAUCUUCCACAAUGGGCGAAAGCCUGAUGGAGCGACGCCGCGUGAGGGAUGAAGGUCUUCGGAUCGUAAACCUCUGAAUCAGGGACGAAAGACACUUCGGUGGGAUGACGGUACCUGAGUAAUAGCACCGGCUAACUCCGUGCCAGCCGCCGCGGUAAUAC
rnacentral:rRNA from 1 species